AUGACAGCAAGGGGAGAGACCUGACCGAAAACCUCGGGAUACAGGCGCCGAAGGAGCAAACUGCGGAGUGAAUCUCUCAGGCAAAAGAACUCUUGCUCGACG
rfam:Bacillus subtilis subsp. subtilis str. 168 complete genome.